rfam:Shewanella benthica KT99 1099576005610, whole genome shotgun sequence.
GGUUAAGUGACUAAGCGUAUACGGUGGAUGCCUUGGCAGUCAGAGGCGAUGAAGGACGUAGUAACUUGCGAAAAGCGUUGGCGAGCUAGUAACAAGCAUUUGAGCUAACGAUGUCCGAAUGGGGAAACCCACUCACAUAAGUGAGUAUCACAUACUGAAUACAUAGGUAUGUGAGGCAAACCCGGGGAACUGAAACAUCUAAGUACCCGGAGGAACAGAAAUCAACCGAGAUUCCCCUAGUAGCGGCGAGCGAACGGGGAUUAGCCCUUAAGUCUAUAGGGUGUUAGUGGAAUGAGUUGGAAAGCUCAGCGGCACAGGGUGAUAGCCCCGUACAUGAAAACUAACUAUAGAUGAAAACGAGUAGGACGGGACACGUGACAUCUUGUCUGAACAUGGGGGGACCAUCCUCCAAGGCUAAAUACUCCUGACUGACCGAUAGUGAACCAGUACCGUGAGGGAAAGGCGAAAAGAACCCCUGUGAGGGGAGUGAAAUAGAACCUGAAACCGUAUACGUACAAGCAGUGGGAGCGGUUCCAUUCUUCGGAAUAAGAGACCGUGACUGCGUACCUUUUGUAUAAUGGGUCAGCGACUUACAUUUUGUAGCGAGGUUAAGCGAAUAGCGGAGCCGUAGGGAAACCGAGUGUUAACUGCGCGUUUAGUUGCAAGGUGUAGACCCGAAACCCGGUGAUCUAUCCAUGGGCAGGUUGAAGGUUGAGUAACAUCAACUGGAGGACCGAACCGACUUAUGUUGAAAAAUGAGCGGAUGACUUGUGGAUGGGGGUGAAAGGCCAAUCAAACCGGGAGAUAUCUGGUUCUCCUCGAAAGCUAUUUAGGUAGCGCCUCGAGCGAAUACCAUUGGGGGUAGAGCACUGUUAAGGCUAGGGGGUCAUCCCGACUUACCAACCCUUUGCAAACUCCGAAUACCAAUGAGUACUACUCGGGAGACACACGGCGGGUGCUAACGUCCGUCGUGGAAAGGGAAACAACCCAGACCAUCAGCUAAGGUCCCAAAGUUAUUGCUAAGUGGGAAACGAUGUGGGAAGGCUUAGACAGCUAGGAUGUUGGCUUAGAAGCAGCCAUCAUUUAAAGAAAGCGUAAUAGCUCACUAGUCGAGUCGGCCUGCGCGGAAGAUUUAACGGGGCUAAGCAAUACACCGAAGCUAUGGGUUUGCUAGUUUACUAGCAAGCGGUAGAGGAGCGUUCUGUAAGCCGUUGAAGGCGAAGGGGUAACCCACGCUGGAGGUAUCAGAAGUGCGAAUGCUGACAUGAGUAACGAUAAAGGGAGUGAAAAACUCCCUCGCCGAAAGACCAAGGUUUCCUGUCCAAUGUUAAUCAGGGCAGGGUAAGUCGACCCCUAAGGUGAGGCCGAAAGGCGUAAUCGAUGGGAAACAGGUUAAUAUUCCUGUACUUCUGCUAACUGCGAUGGAGAGACGGAGAAGGCUAGGCUAGCGCGGCGUUGGUUGUCCGCGUUUAAGGUUGUAGGUUGUAUUCUUAGGCAAAUCCGGGAUACGCAUUAAAUUGCAAGACUGAGGACUGAUGACGAGACCUAAGGGUUGAAGUAGUUGAUGCCAUGCUUCCAGGAAA